rnacentral:tRNA from 1 species
AAUGAAGUGCCUGAUAAAAAGGACUAUUUUGAUAGGGUAGAACAUGCACAAAAUGCCUUCAUUA